CGUGGAUUAAAAGCCAUACAAAGGUUUAUUGGUUUCUCUAACUAUUAUAGGAGAUUCAUCAAAGGUUUCUAUUCGGUAAUAGCCCCCAUCACCAAUAAGACACGCAAGGGGGGCUAAUUGUACAAUAUGGCAUAAAGAAGCUAAAGAGGCAUUUGAGCUUCUUAAACAAAUGUGAUUAUCCUGACACUAGUAAAUCUUUCCUACUUGAGGUUGACGCCUCCGAGACAGGGGUCGGG